UACGUAGGGUGCGAGCGUUGUCCGGAAUUAUUGGGCGUAAAGGGCGCGUAGGCGGUCGUGACAAGUCACUUGUGAAAUCUCCGGGCUUAACUCGGAACGGUCAAGUGAUACUGUCGGACUAGAGUACAGAAGGGGCAACUGGAAUUCUCGGUGUAGCGGUGAAAUUCGUAGAUAUUCGCAAGAACACCAGUGGCGAAGGCGGCUCACUGGCCCGGUACUGACGCUGAGGUGCGAAAGCGUGGGGAGCAAACAGGG
rnacentral:rRNA from 1 species